GACGAACGCUGGCGGCGUGCCUAACACAUGCAAGUCGAACGGAAAGGCCCUGCUUUUGCGGGGUGCUCGAGUGGCGAACGGGUGAGUAACACGUGAGUAACCUGCCCUUGACUUUGGGAUAACUUCAGGAAACUGGGGCUAAUACCGGAUAGGAGCUCCUGCUGCAUGGUGGGGGUUGGAAAGUUUCGGCGGUUGGGGAUGGAUUCGCGGCUUAUCAGCUUGUUGGUGGAGUAGUGGCUUACCAAGGCUUCGACGGGUAGCCGGCCUGAGAGGGUGACCGGGCACAAUGGGCCUGAGAUACGGCGCAGACGGGUACGGGCGGCAGCGGUGGAGAGUAUUGCACAGUGAGGGGGAGCGUGAUACGACGGCGCCGCGUGCGGAAUGACGGCCUUCUGGUUAUGAACCGCUUUCGCCUGUGACGAAGCGUGAGUGACGGUAAUGGGUAAAGAAGCACCGGCUAACUACGUG
rnacentral:rRNA from 1 species